UACGGAGGGAGCUAGCGUUAUUCGGAAAUACUGGGCGUAAAGCGCGCGUAGGCGGUAUCAUAAGUCAGAGGUGAAAUCCCAGGGCUCAACCUUGGAACUGCCUUUGAAACUGUGGCACUAGAAUCUUGGAGAGGUCAGUGGAAUUCCGAGUGUAGAGGUGAAAUUCGUAGAUAUUCGGAAGAACACCAGUGGCGAAGGUGGCUCACUGGCUCGAUACUGACGCUGAGGUGCGAAAGCGUGGGGAGCAAACAGG
rnacentral:rRNA from 1 species